CAAUAUAUGUACAGCACCGUGCAGUAUUUUUUGAGUACCGCAGAGAAUCCCAUUCCAUUAAUACUAUCAAUUAAAGUAGUAGACACUCUCCAACCCAUGUUAUUGGCAUCAACCUUCCAUAAUUGAUAAAAACAUGAAGGUCACCCAUCUAAGAUUUAAUAUGUGGUGUUAUGAAGGAAAUAGGUGGCACUUUGGAAUCACUAGCAGGAGGAGGAAAAGACAAUGGGCACAGUGUUGAAAAUCAGAGAUGGGAGAAGAUAGAAGAAGAAAGAGAGGAAGAUGUGAUUUUGAAGAAAAGAGGAAAACUUUAUUUUUCUUUCUUUUUCUUCAUAUUACAGCCUUAGAGAUCCUUCUUAUUUUAUACAGGAGUUUUCAUUAUCUUCAAAGAAAGGUGAUAACCUAUUCUUGGUUAUCCUCUAAAUAAAGAAAAAUCAUUCAUGGCUAUUACCUAAAUAGGAAAAGGCCAUGGAUG
rnacentral:lncRNA from 1 species